UACGGGGGGAGCAAGCGUUGUUCGGAUUUACUGGGCGUAAAGGGCGCGUAGGCGGCACUGCAAGUCAGUUGUGAAAUCUCCGGGCUUAACCCGGAAAGGUCAACUGAUACUGCAGGGCUAGAGUGCAGAAGGGGCAACUGGAAUUCUCGGUGUAGCGGUGAAAUGCGUAGAUAUCGAGAGGAACACCUGCGGCGAAGGCGGGUUGCUGGGCUGACACUGACGCUGAGGCGCGAAAGCGUGGGGAGCAAACAGG
rnacentral:rRNA from 1 species